AGAUGGUUUCCAUGGAGACAAACAAAAAUAAGAGCUGAACACGUGUCUCAUACGUUUGUCUGGUCAGUGAGUGAUGAAGGUUUGAGUAAGAAAGGUGAGACAGGUGAGUGAAGUGAAGGUCAGACAGGUGAGUGAUGAAGGUGAGACAGGUGAGUGAUGAAGGUCAGACAGGUGAGUGAUGAAGAUGAGACAGGUGAGUGAAGGUCAGACAGGUGAGUGAUGAAGGUGAGACAGGUGAGUGAUGAAGGUCAGACAGGUGAGUGAUGAAGAUGAGACAGGUGAGUGAUGAAGGUCAGACAGGUGAGUGAUGAAGGUGAGACAGGUGAAGUCAGGAGGGUCAUACUAACGUGGACCGUGAGGCAGAGAGACCACAGAGAAGAUACUGUCGCAGGC